rnacentral:rRNA from 1 species
GUAAUGCCGGAUGUUCCACAUGAUCGCAUGUGAUUGUGGGAAAGAUUCUAUCGGCGUGGGAUGGGGUCGCGUCCUAUCAGCUUGUUGGUGAGGUAACGGCUCACCAAGGCUUCGACGGGUAGCCGGCCUGAGAGGGCGACCGGCCACAUUGGGACUGAGAUACGGCCCAGACUCCUACGGGAGGCAGCAGUGGGGAAUAUUGCACAAUGGGCGCAAGCCUGAUGCAGCGACGCCGCGUGAGGGAUGGAGGCCUUCGGGUUGUAAACCUCUUUUGUUUGGGAGCAAGCCUUCGGGUGAGUGUACCUUUCGAAUAAGCGCCGGCUAACUACGUGCCAGCAGCCGCGGUAAUACGUAGGGCGCAAGCGUUAUCCGGAUUUAUUGGGCGUAAAGGGCUCGUAGGCGGCUCGUCGCGUCCGGUGUGAAAGUCCAUCGCUUAACGGUGGAUCUGCGCCGGGUACGGGCGGGCUGGAGUGCGGUAGGGGAGACUGGAAUUCCCGGUGUAACGG